rnacentral:rRNA from 1 species
UACGGAAGGCAGCAGUGGGGAAUAUUGCACAAUGGGCGCAAGCCUGAUGCAGCCAUGCCGCGUGUAUGAAAAAGGCCUUCGGGUUGUAAAGUACUUUCAGUCGUGAGGAAGGUGUUAAGGUUAAUAACCUUAGCAAUUGACGUUAGCGACAGAAGAAGCACCGGCUAACUCCGUGCCAGCAGCCGCGGUAAUACGGAGGGUGCGAGCGUUAAUCGGAAUUACUGGGCGUAAAGGGCACGCAGGCGGUUAAUUAAGUUGGAUGUGAAUCCCCGGGCUUAACCUGGGAAUGGCAUUCAAGACUGGUUAGCUAGAGUCUUGUAGAGGGGGUAGAAUUCCAUGUGUAGCGGUGAAAUGCGUAGAGAUGUGGAGGAAUACCGGUGGCGAAGGCGGCCCCUGGACAAAGACUGACGCUCAUGUGCGAAAGCGUGGGGAGCAAACGAGGGAUUAGAUACC